ACGAAGGCGUGACAGCACCUCACUCUAUGAGAAGUCCCAGCACAUGAACAGGCCGGGGAAAGAUACCCAGUACAAGGAACUGUUCCGAAGCCUAAAGUUAGAGUUCAACUCCCUCCUUCCUGCAAGCCGCACGCACAGAAUCCUGACCUUGGCUGCAGGAUCAGACUUUUAAAUCUUGCCAUGUUCCCCCCCCCUCCAGGAACGUGUUUUUGCAGACACUAGGAGGGUGCAAUGGUGAACAAAACAAAGGCUCCCUCUGUCUGCAGGAGAUAGAACAAGGCACUGUGGACCCUAUGCCUACAUCCCCAGAGUGGGUCCCUUCAGCUCGCCACUGGGCAUCCAUGUCCUUGGAAGGGAGCUGUGGACAGUGACCACUGGGUCACCUGAUCCUUGCUGGAAACCUCCAUGUUUCAGUAUUGCCAGAUGUUGUAAGAAUCCUAAGUGGGUCAGGACCAGAAGUGAGUAGAUGGCCUCCUUUCUAACUGCAGUGUUCGGCCAGGACCCCGCCUGCAGCGCACCUGAGAGCCAACACCGCGCUGCUCUAGUCUCUUGUUUCUCAAAUUCCCAAGAGCAGAACCCUGCCACAGAGCAGAGCUGAGCUGCAGGAACAUCUGGACUCAGCAGAGGUGGGGACCCAAGUCCAAGACAGCCCAGGUCUCAGGUCCCUGGUGUGAUUGGAGGGAAGGUGUGUGGAUGCUCCCAGCCCGCAGUGCCACCAGCAGAAUGAAGACCGUGUGCCCACAGAGCAUCCUAGUCAUCACUCAGACCAGGUCUGUCACCCAUGUCUGCCCUUUGUUGGAGGCUCCUCCAUGCCAGUGGGGACCAGCGUUGACAACUUCCUAGUGUGCCCCUCUUCAUAUGGUUCUUGCACACUCUUGCUAAUUCCCAUCCCCUCACAAUCUGCGGAACUUCUUCUCUGACAUGUAGAGCAGAAGCGACAAAACACAGGGCUUCCUAGGCAAGGCAUGAAAUAGCUUAGCGGAGUCAGACCCUUGUAGUCUGGAACUCCAAAACCAGCACCACAGUCAUCUGCCUCAACCACCAACCGUCCCAACACCCUUCGGUCUUCAGGUCUUUCCUCUUCCACUUUAUUUCUACUUAAUGUUUUCUGUUAUUAAUAAAAAUUGAUUAUCUUGUUCCUGA